AGGGUAAAACCCUCCUUGGGCUGUGAGCUCCCAGCUCUCUCCUCACACAGGGCUGAGGUCUCUGGGGAAGGCAGAGCUGUGGUCUAGAAGAAGAUGGCACUGCUGGGUCUUCUCCUGUGCCUGGUGACAGCCCCCCAAGGUGUCCUGUCCCAGGUGCAGCUGCAGGAGUCGGGCCCAGGACUGGUGAAGCCCUCGCAGACCCUGUCCCUCACCUGCGCUGUCUCUGGAUUUUCCAUCACAACCAGUGGUUACUGCUGGGACUGGAUCCGACAGCCCCCGGGGAAGGGACUGGACUGGAUUGCGAUCAUAUGUUAUGAUGGGAGCAUAGCAUAUAAUUCGGCCCUCAAGAGCCGCACCUCCAUCUCCAGAGACACAUCCAAGAACCAGUUCUCCCUGCAGCUGAAAUCUGUGACCACCGAGGACACGGCCGUGUAUUACUGUGCGAGGGUGCAGACUGGGCAGCAGGGGGCGCUCGGGACCCACCAGCAGGGGCUGCAGCCCCAGGAGCAGGUGUUGAGGGGAAAGGAUGGGGCCUCCUCUGAGGGCCUGGGGCUUCCUUCCUCUUUCUAG